AGACCGUGGUGUGGACAGAGUCUCAUCAUGUCCUUGUAUCUUUCCCAUGCUUCGAAAAGUGAUUCUCCUUCUUUUUGCCUAAAUCCGUUGAUUUGGGCUCUUAGCAU